GCCAAGGCUGUUAAAAAGUUAUGUACGCAUAAAUAAUGUUUUUAUUUUAAAAAUAUAGCCGUUCCUUGGCGUUGGCCGAGUUCCCCUCAGGUGGUGGUUGGGCGUGAAGUGAACUCUAAAGUUUGACCUCGGGAGUUAGCCUACACGCCUCUCCAAUCGAGGUACAUAUAUAUGACCAGGUUUCGUGCCCCUCUAAUAGGUUGAUCCACAGAACCAGCCCAUUGCAGCAAGCUAAACCCACCAUACCAUAAAAAUUCAACAACACGAUAUGGCAAUUUUAUCAUUAUCUAGCUUAUCAAGGCAAACAACAGUUUAUACAUUUCAACACAAAUACCAAUUCAGCCAUUCAUGCCAAUAUUGUCAUAAGUCAAUCAAUUAGAACCAUAAAUUCACAAUACAUCAAAUGGUCUCCAAUUUCUUUAUUUUCAAAGCCUUAAUUCAAUUUCAAGACCAUUUAUGAAAUCAUUUUAUUUAAACACAUUUUGUUUAUAAAACCUAAAAAUUUACCAUUUAAACUCAUUUUUCAUAAAAUCACAAAAUCGGAUAAAAACCACUCUAGAUAAUUAAGACGAUAGUAAGGUUACUCACAAUGUCUAGAGUACGAAUUUUCGAAGUAUUCUGACUACUGGUCCUCGGAUGCAAUUUCCUUGCCUUUAUAAGAGGACUCACCACCUUGACAUAGUACAAAAUCGAGAAACUUACUACAUUGGUACUAAAUCAAAAUUAAACUAAUUUAGACUACUAAUGCAUGAUAUGGAAUGGAAAAUGCACGGGUAACCAUCUAAACUCGGUAUUGGCCUAAUUCAUCUUAUCACCCGAUUAAUUGGCCAACGCGUCCAAUAUAGCUCCAAAUUGCUCCAUUUCUUUUCCAAUACCUUAAUUCACCAAACACAAGUCAAAUAACCUAAAAUUUGGCAAAACCAUCUUCACUCUUCUUCUUAGAAUUUUCGGUCAAUAAUGAUGCAUUAACACCAUGAUUUUUCCUACUACUUUUCCACAUCAUAAUUCAUCAUUUUCUAACAAAUUCUCUUAAAAUAAAAAUCAAAUUCAUCCUUACUCAAUACAAGGUAGGUUCGGCCAUUGAUGGGUGAUAGGGAAAAUGAAUUCUUUUCUUGUUGUUUUACUUCUAGACAUGGUAAACUAACUAAAAACACUAACAUAACUUGAAAUCAAAUCAAUCCAACAUCAUUCUCUCUCCAUACCCAUUCGGCUAGCCAUGAAUUCUUCAUGAUAUCUUGUGAUUCAACUUUGGAAAAUGCAAAAUAAUGCAUGGGAAAGGUAGAUCACAAGUCAAAAUCAAGAAAUUUUACAUUUGAUUGCUUGAUUACUUGAAAUCCACCAAUUUUUCUCUUGAAUUUUCACCCUAGGGUUCUUGUUCUUUUUUUCCUUCCUUUUUUCUUCUUUGGCCGGCCAUAUGAAUGAAAAAUGGGCUGAUUUUGUGCCAAUUUAUAAGGAAAAUAAUGAAUGGAUGAGAUUCCGACAUGUGUCACCAUUCCAUCGGUCCAUGUGUCAUACUUAGCCAUUAAGCAAUCUCUUUCCACCACUUAAAUUUCCUCAAUUAUCCAUGAUAAUAUUGGGUAAAAUCCAUAUGCUGGACAAAUAUUGGGUGGUGCAAAAUUAUAAUUUUUCCCUUGAGGUGGCAAAAUGACUAUUUUACCCCUAUGCUCGAAAAAAUGCCGAAAUUAAAAUUCUUCAUUUCUUAAACUCAAAUUAUACUCCCAAUGAUCAAUCUUAGUAAAAAAUUCCAGCCAACACUCACAUCUUAACCUCGGGUGACAAAUAACCAUUUUGCCCAUGGGUCAUGAAAAUUCCAAUUUGAUUCCAAAUCGAUCCUCAAACUUCGAAUCACCAUUUUAAGUCAUUAUGGGGUUUUUAAAUUCUCAAUUUCAUCUGAAAAUCUCUAUUCAGACUAGUUUGAGGCUUAAUUCAACUUAAUUGUACCAUUUGGUACAAUACCGUCCUUUAACGAUUUCCAAGGUACCUAAGUAAACAAACAUUUAUUCUUAUGUAAGAAUGGCAUAAUAAACAUAUUAUAGAGUCGGGCUUGAUAGCUACGAUCCUACCUCUGACAUACAGUUGAUAACUAUUAUGUAUCUAACCACUUUGAUGCUACGACACACUUUAAUUUGAUUAUCCAUACUCUAUAGCGCUCCACUAUCUAUUUGAAAUGAUAUUUGACACUAUGGACUUUGGAUUUGAUAUUUAUAUUGAGUUUGGACUUCGGAAUUAAUAUUGUUUUGACUUGAGACUUUGGACUGACAUUUGUUUAGACUUCAGUCCUUGGAUUGAACAUUGGUUUUGAUAACUCGAUGAUAUAGAGUUAUUUAGUUACAUUUUGGAUGCCAAAUUAGCUAAGUCUUUAAAAAUUUAAAUUAGUUUGAGUUAGUUUUUAUGCAUUUUGUUAUUUAGUUUAAGAUAUGUUGAUGUAUCUAAAUUUACAUAAUUUCAGUUUAUUUUAAUGUUGAAAUUCUCAAUUUAAGCCAAUACUAAUUUAGUCCCUGUUUUGGUAGGUGUUCAAGUGCAUAAAAGUGCAUAAAUUUAAACAGUGAUGAACUUUGCAAAGAAUACUAAGUGUAGAUUUCUACUAAACAUGUUGCGGUAGUUUGGACAUAACUCGAGCUACAAAGUUCAAUCAACAUGAUUCUUGGACCAUAGGAAAGAUAAAGUGCAUAUCUACAACUUUCAUUCUAGGUAAGAGAAAAUCGCAUUGCAAGAUGAGUUACAAAAUUAGUUUCUACCCCAAGGUUCUACAAGGAGCAAAACCGAGGCAUUGAAGCACUCAAGGUCGUAGCGCCUAAGGGAGCAUCAUUGCUCCCAUACAAAAACUAGAGGGUUCGACGUUGUGGUGGCCAAGGAGGAAGGUCACAGUAUCGGUUGAAAAACACAAAAAAAAACUAUAUAAGGCUAGAGCACUACAGCACCCAUGGAGUAAGGCUACGAUGCUUUGACGUGGAUUAAGUGAUUUUAGCCAAUCAAGAAUUGAAUUUUUAGGGCUUUUGGGGUUUAGGGUUUAAGAGUGAUGAAACUAAUGUGAUGAAAAUUUUCUAAUUAAUUUACAUAGACAUAUGGAGUUAGUUUUGAAAGGUAUGUGUAAGAUCUCGACAAGGACUUACGCAUAAUAUGGAUUCUUGGUUAGCCUUGCACCCCAUGAAUCUAAGUUAAGAAGAAUGAUUAAAUUUAAAUGUAAUAUUGAGAGACACCAUGAUAUUAGGCUUUUGAAUUAAUAUUUUUCUUUAGUGAAUUUUUAUUCUUCUUUGGUUUGCUUAGUUUUAAUAAUUAUGUUUAGAUUAAUUAAUCAUUCAAAAUUGAGUGCUUGGAUAGGAUAAAUUUCGUUAUAAAGUUAAUACUUAGUAAGAAUAGAUGCAAAUUUCUGUGGGAAACAAUACUCAACUUAUCGUUAUAUUACUUGUAUGGCCACGUGCACUUCCAUGUAUUAAGUCGUUAACAAGUUUCGACCUUGGUGCUUGAGUUUGAUAUUUGUUUCGAUUCUAGCAUUUAGAAUUGGUAUUUUUCUUGACCUGAUCAUUGGAUUGGGUAAUUGCCCUGACUUUGGUGUUUAAAUAUGAUUUAUGCAAUGUAAUACAAGUUAUGUUAUUUUUGAAAUCUACUCAUUUUCUUCAAGGAUUUUCUAGAGAAAACAACAUUAUCUCAUUUUCUUUGAAACUAAACCUUUGUUUUCAUCUACAUCUUUUACAAAAGCUUUAAAGCUUGAUAUUUAUAAAUUAUUUUCUUGUAAAUAGUUGAAUGUUUUACAAACUAUGAUUCUUACUUCAAAGGUUUGAGAGUGGGUUAUGAACAUAACUUUAUAAAAUCAUUUUAAAUGAGUUUGAAUCAGUCGAGACAAUGAGUUGAGAUUUCCUGGAUAAUUGAUCAUACUUGACACAUAACUCGCACCUUGGGAUGUUUGAUUUUUUGCUCGGGGAUUAAAUUUCCAAACUCUAUGGACAUUUGUUAUGGUUGAAAGGAAAACAUUGAUAUUCUUUGAAAUGCACUACUUGCAUUAUUUUUAAAGUGCUCUUGAUAAACAAUCUCCCGUUUAGCUUGUUGCCCCUCCCCGUAUCUACUCAAUAAGUUAUUUAUAACUUACACAUGUAAGAUGCAUUUGUUUUUGCAGAUCAAUAGUUGUUUGGCUCACUGUCCCUUGGGAAGAGCCAAUACAUUAGCUAAUUUGGGGUAGGUGAAUAUAUGGCAUCCAGUAGGUGUCAGCCUUUUUGUUUCUUAGUCGUACUCUACUGGUCCUAUUUGGUUUGGUCAUUUAUGUUUAACUAUGAUGGAUAAUACUUUUCUAUGUCUUGUAUUAACUGCCAUGAAUUUUGAAAUUUGCCAUGAGAUGGAUAUACUUUGAAACUGCCACAAGAUGGCUUGUAUAUGUUACUUGAUAUGUGUGGCUUCCACAUUCUUAGCACAUGAGUGUGCAAACUAAUAUGACAUAUUCCUAUGUGAUAUAAUAUGAUGCAUGUUUGAUAUAUGGUUCCAUGGUGAUGAGUCCUACUAGGUAAUCUCGAGUAUUUGAUUUAGUUGUUCAUUUUAAGCUUGCAUGGGUUAAAACGGUAACUUCAUCAAUACUUUUACAUUCGUCAUGGCCCCCGAGUUUGGGUCAUGACAUUUGUUCUUCGUUUGAUGUAUCAACUCUGAGAGCGAUUUGACCCCACUCUUGUUGCUUCAGCACGCAUAUGAUUUAGUGCUCUACUAGUGGCCUAACCCUAAACAUGGUUUGAUUUCCAUCAAUUGGUCAUUGAAUGUAAUUUGAUUAUGUUCAGGGACGACCAGUCUAUGAUUAAGAAUUGAACCAUAAGAGAUAUGACACAGUUUUAAAUGGGUAGAGAUAAAUUUGAAUUGGACGUGAUAUUUUGGCAAUUGCGGUGUGCCUAGGAGAUUAAUUCUAAAAUGGCUUCGAGGGUAAGCCACAUGCGUUUUGCACUAUUUGUGGAGCCCUAUAGUGGCAUAUGUUUGAUUUGUGAGAUUUGUGAAAUAUCAAUAAGGAUGAAUGAUAUGCCCUUAAUAUUGGAGAUGUUUGUUGGAACACUCUGUUUGCAUUAAUAAUGCAAUAUAUAUAUAUAUAUAUAUAUAUGUUUAAUAGCUUUAACAUAUUUGAUUUAUCUACACCUCUCACUGAGUAUUAGAUGACUCAUCUAUUUGUUAUACCAUGUGUAGAUAAAUAGGCCACAAGACUUGCAUGGCUAGUAUCAUAUUUAGACAAACUGAUUUUGGCAUUCAAUAGGCAUCCCCCAUCUGAUAUGUCCACUUUGAUCAGUCUGUUUUGGGUCUUUUGCUUCGGUCUUACCUUUUAUAUAUGUAGGCAUGAUGUUGCCAUUUAAAUUUGUUUAAGGGUUGUAAGGUACGAACCCACUUUGAUGGCUAAUGUAUGGCCUUAUGAACAUUAUUAAAAAUGUUGAUGUAUUAACUAUGUGGCAAAGGGCAACUUUUAUGUAUUUGAAUUUAAGUUAUAUUAUGAAUACAUUAUGUGAAAACCCUUGGCAAUCUGUUGUGUGACUUACGUGAUUCAAUUUUUUGAGGCUUGCUCAAGUCUUGCAAGCUUGUCUACUAGGCUCGUGCCUUGGUCACAACUCCCUAGUUUAGAUCAUGACAAAGUUAGUAUCAAAGUGCCUAGGUUCUAAAGUGUCCUAUGUCUUUCUAUGUCUAUUAGUAGAGUGCUGGGGAUUAAUGUAGAGUUUUUUUGUUCAUGGUUUAUGACUACAACACAAAUCAUGAGCAAGAAGCCCCAUUUUUGGAAGCAUAAGACACAAACUCCCAAGUUCUUAGUAAGUUAACCCAUAUUUUUAGACCAUAAAUUUUGAAAUUUUUAAUGUGGUAUUACUUCGUCUUGGUACAGGAUGCCACCAAAGACAAGAGUUGCGUUAAGGGCUACAAGAGAGCAAUACACCCCAAAUAAGCCUAUGGAACAACGAUAGGUGUCCUCAUCAAGCAGUCGUGGCGUAAGUAAAACCACUAGGCAAGCUUAAAAUGGGAAACCCAAUUAUAUUCAUGUGGAUGAUGAAAAUGUGAGACUUGGGAACGACUAUCUGACAGGAAGAGGUGUCACCCUAAAGAAUUUAGCAACAGGGUUGCAAAGUUUAGCUUAUGAGUAUGCGAAAUUUCACAAUAGAGGUAAGGCACAUUCCAAAGAAUUAGUUAACUCUAGUUUGCAAGAUCCGAACUAUGUGCCUUAAUGUGAACAUUAGAAAAGAGAUAUUAAGGUUACUUUGGUAAAUUUCAUGAAGCUUUAGGCCUCAUCUUUUACUAGAUCAGACGUGGAGGAAGAUCCACAGAGAUUUUUGGAAGAUAUGGAAUGUAUUGUUUUACUUUAGGAUGCUCCCUAUAUCAAUCUAUUGAAUUGGUGGGGUUUAGACUGAAAGAUGUAGCCUGGAUAUGGUUUUAUCCCUCAAGAGAAGUAGACCAUCUGUUUUAGCCUUAAUGACAUGGGAGAAAUUUGUCCAAGCCUUUUUGGAUCACUUUUUGCCUGAGAGCAUGAGAGACACAAAGGCAUAACAACUUGGAACAUUAGUUCAGACCCCAAAAAUAUUGGUGACGGAGUAUGAUGUUUGAUUCACCCAAUUAUCUAGAUAUGGUCCUAACUUGGUCCUAACUGAGGAGAAAAUGAUGAAAAGAUUUGCUAAGGGACUGAUUGAGCUGCUAUUUAGAGUUCUUACCAUCCAAAGAUUUGGCUCCUACGCCGCAAUGCUGGGUGCGGCUAGAUUGAUUGAGACCAGGAGAAUGAAAACUAGAAUGGAAAGGAAUAGGGGUCAAAGAGCUCAAACACAAGGCCAACAGGGUUGAAGAGAUUCUAGUGCAACUAAGAGUCCAACAUCUGUACACCAUCAAAGUCAUGAGGGAACUACUCCGACAUGUAAGCCACUCAAAAUAGUGAUUCAUUUAGCCUUCAUUCUAGAUGAGAGUAGUCUAGUGGAUCAUCUAAUUUAGGCCCUACACAAAGUGGUGUUCUGUGUAAUUAUUGUGGGAAAGCAAAUGGUGGACCAUGCCAAAGAGCAGCAAGGUUAUGUUUUUGAUGUGGACAAUUAGGACAUUUGAUGAGAGAUUGCCUAAGGCAAAGGUAGUCGUCAGAAUGAAAUCAUGGAUAUGUGCGACUAGUUGCCACUACCUUACCUAGAAUGGCACAAUCUAUAAGAAAUGUUAGGGUUGAUAAAGGCAAGCGUAUAGCCUCAUCAUCUCGGGGUAGAUCAGCACAAUCGAGUAACAAAGGUGGAGGUCAAGCAAGGGUGUUUUCUCUGACAGCAUAAGAUGCUCAAACUUCCAAUGUAAUGGUCACAAGUACACUUCCCAUUUAUGGUACUGAGGCUUUAGUUUUGUUUGAUCUAGGGUAGACACAUUUCUUUGUGUCACCACAUUUUGUGUCAAAGUUGGAUAGAUUUUGUUGUAAUAUUGAGGAACCCCUGAUUGUGACUACCCCUUUAAGGGAAACGUUAAUGGUCGAGUAUGUGUAUAAGUCCUACGUAGUCUGUAUUAAAGACAAGGACACUAUGGUAGAUCUGUUGCUACUACUGACUUUGGAUUUUGAUGUAAUUUUGGGGAUGGACUGAUUAGCCUAUUGUUUUGUUAAAGUGGAUUGCCACUAUAAACUUGUGAAGUUUAAGUUCUCGAGGAACCUUUAUUUGUGAUUUAUGGGCAUGAUAGUCCAAUAUCUGUAGGAGUCAUGUCAAUUAUGGUUGCUAGAUGUAUGGCAAGGAAAAGAGGCUAAGGACACCUAAUGAUGAUGGGAGAUGUUUCGAUGAACAAAGGAAGUGUGCAUUACAUACUGAUAGUAUGUGAGUAUUCGGAUGUAUUUCCAGAUGAACUGCCUAGAUUGCCCCCUGAAAGGGAGAUUGAAUUUUAUAUUGAUUUGAUUCCAAAUAUGAAGCCAAUUUUUAUACCUUCGUAUUGAAUGGCACCAGCUAAAUUAAUAGAGUUUAAAGAGCAAUUGGAGGAUUUAUUGAACAAGGACUUGAUUCGCCCCAGGGAGCUCUGGUGCUAUUUGUCAAAAAUAAGGGUGGUAGCCUUCAAUUGUGUAUUGAUUAUCGAAAACUCAAUACAGUGACAAUAAUAGUUCAAUAUACAUUCUCGAAAAUCUAUGAUUUGUUUGAUUAGUUGCAAGGUGUAGUGUGCUUUUCUAGGAUUGAUUUAUGCUUUAGGUAUCACCAAUUGAGAAUUUGGGAGAGUGAUAUACCCAAGAUAAUGUUCCACGAACGUUAUGGGCAUAAUGAAAUUUUAGUGAUGUUGUUUGGACUCACUAAUGCCAUUGCAGCCUUUAUGGCUUUGAUGAAUAGAAUGUUUCAAGCAUAUUUGGACAAAUUUGUGGUUGAAUUUAUAGACGACAUUUCGGUGUAUUCUAAGAGCCUACUAGAACAUGCGCAACACUUAAGAAUAAUAUUUUAGACGCUAAGAGAGUUGAGAUUGUAUGCUGAGUUUUUGAAGUGUGAAUUUUGACUGAAUAAAGUUAGUUUCUUAGGACACAUUCUGUUUGAACAAGGGGUGUAAGUCAAUCCCAGUAAAAUGGAACCUAUGGAGAAUUGGCCAAGACCAACGUCUGUAAUGGAAGUUAGACGUUUUAUGGGUUUAACUGGGUAUUACAAACAUUUUGUACAAGACUUUUCUAAGAUUACAUUCCCUUUGACAAGUUGACUUAGAAAGGAGUCAAAUUCGAUUAGUUUGAUGCAUGUGAGGCUAGUUUUUAGAGACUUAAAGCUAUCUUACUUCUGCAUCUGUGUUAAGCCUACCAUGUGUAUUAAUAGGCUAUACUAUGUAUUAUGAUGCAUCAUGGGUUAGAUUAGGUUGCUUGUUGAUACAACACGAUAAAGUUAUAGUUUAUGCCUCCUGACAACUUAAGAGACACGAAUAAAACUACCCUACGCAUGAUUUAGAGAUGGCAGUGAUUGUGUUUGCCUUGAAAAUAUGGCGACAUUAUCUCUACGGUGAGACUUGAGAAAUCUAUACCAAUCACAAAAGUUUAAAGUAUAUAUUUCAGUAGAUAGAUUUGAAUUUAAGAUAGCGUAGGUGGUUAAAGUUAUUGAAAAACUAUGAUUGCAACAUACUCUACCAUCUUGGCAAGGCAAAUGUGGUGCUUAAUGCCUUGAGUUGGAAAUCGAUGGGGAGUUUGGCACAUGUGACAGUGGAGAGACAAUCAUUAUUAUAGAGUUUAUAUGACUUGGGCAAUAUGGGAGUACAUUUUGAGAUUAAUGAUUGCAAUGCCUUGAUGGCACAUGUUAGAGUCUAACCAAUGAUAUUAGAUCAGAUUAAAUAUGCUCAGGAUUAGGAUGAGUAUUUGGUGAAAAUCUUUAAAGACAUCAGCGAAGAUAAAAGCUAGAGACUUGGUUUAUGUCAUUGAUGGUUUACUUAGAUAUCAAUCGUGAGUUUACAUGUCAAAUUUGAAUGGUUUAAGAAACGAGAUAUUGGAAAAGGCUCAUGUUGCAGCCUAUGCAAUACAUCCUGGAGCCAUUACGAUGUAUCAUGACUUGAAGUCUGUAUACUGGUGACCAAGAUUAAAGAAAGACAUGGCUGAAUAUGUCUGUAAGUGUGUGGUUUGUCAACCAGUGAAAGCUGAACAUUAGUGUAACAGCCCAAAUACCGGGCCAUGACCGGUGCAUGGGCCCAAUGGGUAUAGCCCACUAAACCUAAGUAAGCCUUUUUAUGCAAACCCGAUCAUCAUUUCUAAAACCACAUAUUAAAAUUCUGAACUAAAAAUAUUUCAGUAAUAUUCUAUAAUGACCCAAAACUCAUAAUUUUAUUAUGUCAAAAUAAUGUCACCUGUUUGCCAACUCAUACUGGCAUCGGUAAUCAAAUAUACAUAAUUGACUUAUAACAUGGAUCCCAGCGAAUUACAUUACAUAUACGCGUUCACAGGUAACAGACCCUUGACCGUUAGCGGAGUGACCAUAGGUGAAGGUACAGCUACUGAGAUGCCAUAGUACCUACCAAGAGGACGAGCAUAGAUGGACACUCAAUCUAGGUCCCAACUGUCUUUGAAUCUGAAAGCAUGAAGUUUAAAAACGUGAGUAUAAAACUUAGUGAGUGAACAUAAGAAGGGAACAAGUAAUCGAUAGGAAGAAUUUGGAAAUCAUGAUGCACUUGUUUCAAAAACAAUGCAAUUGAUUUAAUUUCUUACUAAAAAAUCCUCAUUUCAAACUUUGAUUAAUAACCUCAUAAUGUUGAAAAAACCCAUGAUCAAUCCAUGAAGUUAAAUGGGUGAAAAAAAUGUCAAAAUCAAGCAAGGUAGCAAGCAUGGCAGCAAGUUUCUCGUUGCAGAGAGAAAUUGUCUUUGUUUGCAAAUGUUCUAGUUUUUCAAUCAUAUCUCACUCUACAAAAGUUAAAAUUGACCUAAAUUUUAAACCAUUACAAAGCUAAGAGAUAGAGCUACAACUUUAAUGUUUACCACUUUUCCCAGUUUGGACAGGAAAGUGGUCAAAAUCUUCAUCAAAGUGAAAGUACUACACCAAAACUCGAGAGUUUCUCGCUGCAGCGAGAACCAGGCCAGAGUGACCCCCAAAACCCAAGAGUUUCUCACUACAGCGAAAAUGAAUCUCAUUGCAGCGAGAAACAGAGCAUUUUAAUUAAAAUAUGUCUUGUUACAUCAAAAGCCAUUUUCUUGUUGAAAUGAAAAGCAACUUGAGUGCAAUUAACAAUGCCAACUUGCAACACAAUCACAAAUAUUUUCAUAACUUUCUAUAACACACACAUAUAUAUACAUAUGCAUUCAUCAUCAUGUGUGCACUCCCUACUCGUACAUUUCAACAUCAUCAUGUGUGCACUCCCUACUUGUACAUUUCAACAUCAUCAUGUGUGCACUCCCUACUCGUACACUCUAACAUCAUCGUGUGUGCACUCCCUACUCGCACACUUCAACAUCCCCACACAACAUUAUUCAUCAAUGCACAAUGUAUAUUCAUAUACAUACAUACCAACAUAAUAUAGGAGCACAUGGAUUCAUCCUUUUACACAUUUCACAUUUUACCACAUCAAAAUAAUUUAUCAAGGGCUUGUUCCCAAGGCACCCAUUUUUUUUUUUAAGAAAAGUUGGAUAAAAUCAUUCAAAUGUUUUUUACAAAUACAUUCACAUUCCUAAAACAAUUUUGAAAUGCAGGUUCACUCACCGGUCUUGUUGAUUCUUUUGCUUGACUCUAACCUCAACUAAAUACUCUAAAUGGACAUGUGAGGCCUUGUUGGAACCUAUACACACACAACAUCACAACCAACCCAAAUUGGCAUUAAUAUAAUCUAAAAGCUCUUUCCAAAUCAAGUUCCACUAGUUAUUCCUAACUAGCUUCCAAUUGCCAUUAAAUGGUUAGUUAUUCACGCUACUUUAGUCACCCUAAGAGUGAAUAAACAACCUCAAUGAUAAAACACUCACAAACCCCAUUGUUAGCCAUUAUCAAAAACUAAAGAAAUUUAACCCUAACUUAUACUCACCUUGAUGGUCUUUAUAGUUGAAUUCUCUUUCAAAAUUCUUCAAUCUAACAAAGGAAAUCACUCUCUCUCUCUACACGUCUAGCUAGUGAGAGGAAGAUGGAAGUAAGACUUUUAAAGGGUUUUAAGGUGAGAGAGUGAAAGAGCACAAAAGGUUUUAUGAAAAAGUGCUCAAAAGCAUGAAAUUGAAGCUAGAGAAAGAAAGUUAUGGAAGCUUUAAGGGAGGCUCCCAUGGAGAUGAAGAAACGUGAGAGGGGAAAGGAAGAAGAAAUGGCUGGAAGCUGUUGGAAAUUGCUAGAGCUUUAGAUAUUUAUAUCUAAAGUUUAUCCAUUUCUCACUUAAAUUACCAAAAUGCCCUUAACAUGGUGACCUUGUCUUCCUCUCAUCCUUUGUGCAACCUUUUACUCUUUUGACACUAAGGCAAGGUCCAUAAUAGUCUAGAAAUACUCAGGUUCAUGAAAACAUAAAAAUUUAGACUUGAGAUUCAAAAUGAGCAUUUUGCCCCUAUUGUGGAAAUUAUCAUUAUUUUUAUCUUCUUCAUUUAUUUACCAUCAUAAACAUCAUUUAUAAAUUCCUUAGGCCUAUUUAGACCUUAAUGGCAUAAGAAAAACCCACUUGUAAGAGCUCAGCAAGAGAAAUUACGAAGUUACUCCUGGUCUGCAUUAUCGCGUCUAUUUCUUAUUGGCUCCAUUAGUUUUUUAUGAUAAUAAAACAUUCUCAUUUAUUUGUGUCUAAUACCUUUACUUGAGUGUGUAGGAAAUUAAUAUAUGAAAUUAAUUUCUUAACUCUUCAAAGAGUAUUUUUGAAAGAAAAAAAGAGGGAUAAAAUCAACAAGAUGUAACUGAAUAACAAGGAGGAAGCUUGUUGGUGAAACAAGGAAGAACAUUGGUUGACCAAAUUUCAAAUUGGAGAAAUGGCUAGCUGAAGAGUUUGAGAAACAAAACCAACUUAGUCAACCAAGUCAGUCAACUAAGUGCCCUUUUGCUAGAAUCUGUAAACCAGAAACAGAAUCAACUUAGUCAACCAAGUUAGUCGACUAAGAGCUCUUUGUCUGCAAUUUGAAGUAGAUCACUACAAGAUACAUUAAUGGCUAGACUCAUCCUCAACUGUUUCCAACGGCCAUAAACUAUCAAAUUGCCAACAGAGUUGCAUCUCCAAGUAUAAAAGGGUCUUCCAACAAUUAAAAACAAGUUUUUAGAAGCCUUGAAUGAGAUUUGAGCUGUAGAAAGUUGAAAAACCAGAAAAGCUUCACUACACUUGUCUACAUUUAAACGCCUACUCUUUGCCAUUGUAUUUAGCACUCAAUCUUGUACCAUUCAGAUCAACUUGUGAUCAUAGGUACUUUCUUUAACUUCUCUUCUUGUAUACUUAGAGUGAGGGAGUCACUCUAAGGAGUUGUUCAAGCUUGGGAAAGCUAGAAUGUUAUAGGUUAUGGUUAAGCCUUGGAAAACCACUUUGGGUUUUAGUUGAGCCUGUGGAAAAACUAAUGUAAAGGUUUUGGCUGAGCUUGUGAAAAGCCAUUGUAAAAGCUUGGUGAAAGCUUGUGAAUUUCACUGGAUUCUUAGUGAAUUGUUGGGAAAAUCCUUGGUUGGAUAAUCAAGGUAGUGGAUGCGGGUCUUAGACUGAACCACUCUAAAUUGUUGUGCACCUUAUACUCUGUUUUUAUAUUCUUAAGUUUUGGAAAUUAGUUCCACAUCUUGUCAAGAACCAAAUUGUGAUAUUCACCUCCCUCUGGCACAUAUUAACAGGAACAACAAUUGGUAUUAGAGCUAGUUCCCUAUCUUUAAGGCUUCACAUCCUUAGGGAGGAUCCAAAUGGCUUUUCAAAAAUCAGUUGUAGGUGAGGGACAAUCAACAAACAGACCACCUCUAUUUGA
rnacentral:lncRNA from 1 species